UAAGUUUGUAACGAUUAUGUGAAACGUCUUUAUAUUCUAGCAACGGAUUUAUGCAUGCCAAUUAAAUGUCGACCCUUAAUUAACAAAUACAAAUAAGUUAUCAAUCAAAUAGUUAAGCCAAUUGCAUUCACAAUUCAAGAGUUCAUAACUGGAAUUUAUGAAAUUAUAUUGCACACAUAAUCAUGGCUUUGAAAUCACCCCUAGCCAAGAGGGGUUUAG
rnacentral:lncRNA from 1 species